rnacentral:rRNA from 1 species
GCAGGGUUUCUAAUUUCUAAAGGCUGUGACCGGAUGGCCUCCCUCCUAAAAAAGGAAUAUCCUCUGCCUUUCUAAUAAAGGAGGUGCAUUACGGUACCCUAAUAAUAAGCACCGGCUAACUACGUGCCAGCAACCGCGGUAAUACGUAGGGUGCAAGCGUUAAUCGGAAUUACUGGGCGUAAAGCGUGCGCAGGCGGUUAUGUAAGACAGAUGUGAAAUCCCCGGGCUCAACCUGGGAACUGCAUUUGUGACUGCAUAGCUAGAGUACGGCAGAGGGGGAUGGAAUUCCACGUGUAGCAAUGAAAUGCGUAGAUAUGUGGAGGAACACCGAUGGCGAAGGCAAUCCCCUGGGCCCUGUACUGACGCUCAUGCACGAAAGCUUGGGGAGCAAACAUGAUUAGAUACCCUGGUAGUCCACCCCCUAAACGAUGUCAACUGUUUGUUGGGAUUGCACUAAUCAAUAACCAUCUAACUCCUGAAAAUUACCCCCUGGGAGAACCCCCCAAGCUCAAAACUCAAA